AAGAGGAAGAAAUCAUAUAUCAGAUAAAACUGUUGGAUUACAACAAUGGAUAUUACAGGAGGAACAUCAUCCAAAUGUGAUGCACAAUCUAAAAUUUUCUUGACAGCAAAAUCUAAACUAAAAUCAUCCAUCAAUAUCCCUACAACUUGACUAAAACUAACUGAGGAACAUCAUCCAACAGGAACAUCCCACAACUUAACUAAAAUUGAAAGCAUCCAUCAUCAUCAUCAUGAACCAGAAUAUCAUCGUCGUCAUCAUCAUCAUCAUCAUUGCAGUAUACUUGUUACGCACCCAUAUAAUCAUCCAUAUAUCUUUUCAAUCUACAACAAAAAUAACAAAAUGAACUAUUAACACAUAAUGCAUUGACAUGAUACAAGUAGUGAUAAAGGCAGGAUAUUAGACACGUACAAACGUUGAGGGCCAUGCAAUAUAUUUUUUCUGCAUUACCAUUAGUAUUGCAGUUUUUGCGAAUCUGUACCAAAUCUUCAGCUUUCGCAAGUUUUGUAUUACACUGCCCAAAAUGCAUUUUAAUUUCAGCACCAUUAAGUUUAAAUUCGGGAUCAUAACUUAGAACUGUAGCAAGAACUACGUCCUUGUUAUGAUUCUGGAAAUAUACCAGCAUGAGUGUUAGUGAUCAUUGAUGACUAAUCCAGACGCCAUAAUAUACGACAUAGCCUACAGAACAAUAUGGCUCAAUAACAUUAUAUGGACAGAUAGAACCUAGCAUGGCUCAAUGUUCAUGGACACAACGAGCGGUAGUACAGUAGGGAGAGGGAGAGUGUAUACCUUCCAUGGUGUCGCCCUACAUCAAGUUGGUGCAUGCAGCUGCAAUGCCAAGGGAAAAUGGUUACAUGUGUCUUAUGCAUCUCUAGAACAGCGCAACACAAGUAAAGCUUCACCAAGUUCCAUUCUACUUAAUAAAAUAAGAGAAUCUAUAUUCGUCCCGUUCUAUGUGCCCUAGUUACUAUCUUGGCAACUUUACAUCUUACUCAAUGAAUUUAUCCCUGAGUUAGUUAGACUAGUCAUCAACCAGUGUGUCUGCACAACAAUUUUAGUUUGCCAUGUAUAACUAUAACAUUUUUAUGUAAUAAAAAAUAAAACCACCAGUUUUAAAAGAAGCAUACUUUUAACUAAUUGAGAAAUAUUACAUGUGAUACUGUGUUGGCUUACAUGUGGCUGAAAUAAAUUUAUUUUCAUAAAUGCAUUUAUACAUACUAUGUAUCAUUCCUAUAAAUAAACUUUCCAAAUUAUAAUUUAAAUUUAAAUGUCUCUGAUCCAGGGUUAGUAAAUAUACAGAGGAUAUUAGUCAAUAUCAUGAUUUCCUUUAAUUACAUAGCAGGAGUCGAAAUCUUGUGUGCUCCUAAAAUUAGCUAUCUAGGAACCCCAAAUGAACCCAAUGCUUUAGUGAGUUGGUGUAAGAAAAAGGAAACCACUUUCUAGUUAGCAAAAAAACUAAAGCUAAUGUACAGGAAUAUCUAUAUAAUAUAAAUCUUCAUUAAGAAAAUGUUUUCUGAAAUAAACACAUAGAUCACUCAAAUCUUCUACAUAAGAAGCACAUCCAAUGAUUAUGUUAUGGUUGGCUGGAGGCAGCAGUCCAACACAACUGUUUGGAACUUUGAUUAUGUGGUGCUGCUGGAGGCGACCAGAGCUGCAGAUCACCGCAAUUGGAUGCUUCCACUCC
rnacentral:lncRNA from 1 species